CACACUGGCUGUCCAGGGUCCCUGGAUGCUGCUCAAGGCUUGGCUGUGCCUUCAUUAGCUCCUCACUCCUGGCAAGAGCCUCUCUCUGCUGCCAGUCAGGAACUUUCUCUCAGCCAGUGGCCCUUAACCACCUCCUUGAACCCAGACCAGAUCUGUUGCUUUGGUUCCCUGUACUGGUGUAAUUCAGUAAAUAGUGAAGCAUGAUGCCGGUCAAGCUUUCAAGCAGAUAUACCUGUUCCUAAACUGAUGCCUACUUUCCCCACUACAAAUACUGUGGCUUUUACAUUUUAGUCAAAUUAUUCUGUUGGUGUACGGAGCACUACAACUAUAUUUUACAAAACCCUUAACUCAUUAUAAAAUAUGGAGAAGAGCCUCAGAAAACGGUGGUGACUGUUGUAGUUAUCAAUAAGAAAAUUCAAGAAAUUGGAAGAAAAACAGAUUAGAACUUGAAAAAGGGUCAGGUGGAAGAUGCUACACCUACACAGAUGUGUUCAAGUCAACAAAAAGAGAACAGGCAAUGGCUGUUCAAAAAUAAUUUUGAGUACAUGGAGGCAGGGAAUCUACAAAAGCCAGGCUGCACUUGACUAAAGAUUAUGCAGCCACAACCAAAAAAUGAGAGACUGACAUCACCCUUGGAUGUGUGAAGCAGAGCACAGCCUGACAGACAGAUGAAAUAUCUGUUCUCAGUGUUUGUAAGACUUUAGCUGAAAUACUGAGCCUAUGGAACUGAUAACCCCAGUUCAAUGAAUAUGGCAUCUGGAAGUGACGGAGGAGAGCAAGAAGAGGCAGAAAUCUCCAAAAGACUGCAAGAACUAGAGAUUGUUAGCUUGAAAAAAAAGUUCAAACAAAUGUGCACUACACUUGCAGUUGCAAAAAGGAUAGGUAUUGUCCUUUAUCAGUGACACAUCCAUCUGGGAGGAGCACAACUCCCAGGUGAUGAUCAAGUCUGCCAGAACUCUGAGAUACAGCAAUAUAUUUCAGGGAAGGGAACCGGUGACUUAAUUAUCCAGUGCCAAUGGACAUUAAAAAGAGGAGGUUUGCACUGCUGAGAUGGAGCAGGAAAAGGCUCAGUUCCUGCUCAGUAGCAGGAGCAGAGAUAGCAGAGGAGCACUGAGCAGGGAUGACAGCAUGGUGACAGAGUCUCUGUUGUACACCAGGCUCUGAAAGCAAAUCCCUUUAGGAGAUGUCACCAAGGGCAUCUGAUGUCACUGUCAUGACAGGAAAGAAUAUUCCCUGUAGAAACUUCCACUCUCCAUACAAAUAAUGCAGAAAGACUGCCUAGUGAGACAACCAUGGUCAUGAAAUGUGAAGUAUUUUACUAGAAACUUAUCAACAUUUUAUGAAAUUACUCUCAUAAUUAAAGGACUACAUUCAAAGUGGUUUAACACACAAUUUUAAGUAUGCUUUGUUAAGAUGUUACUGCAAAGACUUUUUUUUUUAACAUUUAAACAAAUUGUCAGUGGACUGGAAAGAAAGAGGGAAGGUAACUUGACAAAAACCUGCUGACCAAAACUAGAGAAGUCUGUUCUACCUUUCGAAGCUCAUGAGACAAAUUUUGACUGCAGCUUCUGCUAAAGCAUGAAAUGAAUCCUAGGAAACUACCAAGCACAAAAUUAGUUUCUGGCUGUGUGCAAAGGAAAAAAAUAUUUCCAUGACAAAAUGGAGUGUCCAAACAGAUCACUGAGAAAGGCUGGGGAAUGUGUGGUUUUGAGGGCUUUUGAGACCCAUCUGGGCAAACCUUCUACAACAGGGUCUGCUUUCAUAUUUUGCCAUUCUCUGUGAUGGAGGUCAGGCCAAAGAUCUCCUGGGAUCCCUCCCUACAUUUAUGACUGUAUGCUGAUCCUAUGGAUUCACCUUUCCCUGAAGUUACCAGCCUUGGAGGUGGCUUUUCUUCUAACUGGAAAAGAAAUUCAUUUGCAAGGGAAUGCUUGAUGGGUCAGUGGGUACCACGAGGGCCCUGUGUGGGGUGAGCAUUUCAGGAAUGGCCAUCCCUGCACACAGGUGUGUCCAGGCACUGGCACUCCUGUGGACACAGGGCAGGCACCAGAGGCUGCCUCCAAGCUCAGGGCUCUCCAAGGCUGCAGCGUCCACUGCGUGGAUAGACUUCAGGGGAAGAUUAAAAGAAAUACUUGUGUGUUGCUUGGCUCAGAACACCCAGGAAGGAGAGGACCUAUCCUGAAUUGCCUGUGGGAAUUUAUGACUAGGAGCAAUGGGGGUAAAGUCAGGCUUCUCAUGCAGCCCUUGCAAACUCAUGCACCACCCCCUGGUAGAGUGUUGGUCCCAGGGUGACAGUGAGGGCUGAGGACCAUGCUGGGCUGGGUAGAAUCCACAGAGCAGGAGGACAGCCCUCACCUCAUCCUGGAGAUCCUGCAGGAUGAGUAUUUGAAGAUACAAGGGGAAAAGAAACAAAGAGGAUGCAGACUUGGUACAAGAUCUCACAGAGGAGGAUCUUUUGUGAUGUUCUGUUACAAGGGAAACAAGAAAAGCUGCACAGACACGAGAGCAUGGGAGCAGACAAGAGCAUCUCUGCAGAAAGGACCAGCUCAUGGAGCACUGAGGGCAUAUCAAAGGGGGAAGUCACUAGAGGGCAUCAUCACCUACCCAAUCCUGCCUGCAGACCAGGUCAGCUCUGUCAUACUCUACCCUACCCAGAGAAGCUGCACUGCUCUCUGUAGGAGUGCCUUCUGCAGAGCUCUGAAAACUCAGAUUCCAGCUGUUCCCACAGCCCUGGCAGAGGAGGUCCUGCAGGGGCACAGUGAAAAUGGCCUACUUUGGGUUACAGCAGAGAGGAGAAUUCUUUUAAAUGGCACUACUAAACAGACCUUCAACAUCCUUCACUUCUUUGUGGGAUUAUUUGUUAAAGUACUCCCAUUCCAACUUUUCCAAACUGCCCUGACUGUUUGGAAAGACAAAGUGCUGAAUAGAACAUGAGAAGAUGAGUAGCUCUGUAAGAGCAGGGCAGGAAUCACCUCCCACAGAUUCACCAUGGAUGGGUCUACUGUGCAGCACUCCUAACACAACCCAGCUCCCAUUUUUCCACAAGGGCUCUUACAGUGAACGUGAGAGUUGAAAGAUCUGGGUGCUGCAUGAACUAAAGACAUAGGGGAGAAGGUCCAUCGGCCCCAUUCUUUAUUUAUCCUUUUCUUAUUACACAUCCAAACUCACACCAGGGUGAAACCCAGGCACAGGCUACCCUCUGCUUAUCACCCCCAUGUCCCAGUGCCACAGCUCGGGCACGGCGUGGGUGUGACAGGGCCAUAGGACUCGUGUUCCCCUGUCUGUGCACAGGGAUGGCACAGGGAGCACCUGCUGCUCAGCUGAAUGCAGGGCAAAAGAGAUUUUGCCAGUGUGAAGCCUCACUGCUGGCAUUUUCCAAAUUAAUCUCUUCUGUGGGUGGAAAGCUGCAGUAUCUUGAGAGAGGUCUUCAUCCAUCAAAGGACUUGGAAGGAAGAUCCCUUUUUUCAGGAAAUUAUGGAGUUCAGAGAGACUGUGGACUAGUGACACAUUGGGUUAUGGCAUGCAAAAUACACCUGUCUCACCAGGGUCUUCCAAGAGCAGCUUUGGACCACCUCCAGAGCCUGGAGCAGGGCAAAAAGCACCUGAAUUUCCAGAGUCGGAAACACCUGUUCUACAAGAAACAGAUCCAUAGGUCAUUAAGAGUUUGUUUCAUUUUGAUUUUCACCUGGGAUUUUCCCUUCAAAGGGUGGGUACAUGGAGCUGUUCUAUCCAUGCUAGCUCCCAAGUGCAUACUUCAGUUUGGAGGGAAUAAAUAAGCAGCAGGUGGAUAAAACCCCUGCCCUGCACUCUGAGCCACGGUGUACCUGGCACAAUGUGCAAGAGAGCACCUUUGUCAUCUUGUUUACCAAAACAGAUCAAGUGUUAGAAGUACAAGAGGAACCGGAGGGGACAUUGAUGUCUAUCGCUGAAAUUGUGGAGGAGCAGAACUGUAAAAGUCAAGGAAGGUAAGCAGGUAAAUAGGGAUGAAAAGAAGAAUGGGAAAACAUUGGAACCACAUCCCAAUUAAAGAGGUAAAACAUUCAGACUGAGGCACAAAUGAUCUCAUCAGCUUCAUUGUCCAAGGCUUGGAAAAGACAGCACAUUUGUGUUAGAAAGAUCAAUAAACUGCACUCAAGUGGGGUCACAGUUGUGGGUAUCAGAAACAUCAAAUAUGGUUAAAUACCUCUGUGAACACUUCAUGUAACUUUCUGGAAGGAGAGUUAUCAAUGUAUUCAUGGAACAUCAUGAAAAAAAAUCACACUAGAGCAAACAAUUACUGUUUUUUCUAUAUGUACUGAGAGGUGGACUGCAAAGAGUGGCUCCUACCUUCCCGUGUACAGACAAUGGGAGGACACUUGGUGAGUAUUAUUCACUCAAGCAGAGGCACAGACUCAGUCAUUCUAACAGAAACCCACCCAUUCCCAGACCUAGAGUGCUUACUCACAAGCCAGCGUGUAGAUAUGCAAAUCACAGCGUAUUGUUAUCAGCAGUUUGUCCAAUAAUAUUUCCUUUGUUUCAUCAAAAAGGCGUAUCAGUUUUGUGCAGUUGGCAGUGAAUAUGCAAAGAGGAAUUUGAAAAAGCAGGACCAGCCAGAACAGCAGCCUCUGCCAGCCUGAUUGCAGGCAUGGCUGAUGUCAGACCAUGCAUCAGAAGGUUAGGGUGCUAAUGACUUGUUGAUGUGUUUGACAUUAUGCAGCUAUCUCUGAGCAGGUAUUUUCACAGUAAGUGUUGUUUUUAUACAUGUUUCCCUAUUACUCAUGAGCUGGAAGUUUCAAGGGAAAAUUUUGAAAACAAGAUAAAAGCUCAAGGGGACUGGGAAGAAGAGAAAGAGAAAGCUUGUCUGAACACUCACAUUACUUAGUCCAAAACACAGAAACGUGAAAUACCAUGUAAUUGGUCACAAUCCUGUUAAAAAAAUCAGAAAUACAGGACACUUAACCUCAUCUUCUCAGCUACAGUAGUAGAAUCAUUGAAUGGUUUUGGUCCUUUAAAUGUCAUUUAGUCCAAUCCCUUGCAAUGAACAGGGAAGAGUCAUUUGUUUAUAUUCGUGUACACAUAAUAAGUUGCAGUCCUUGAAAAGAAGUUAAAACAUAUUCAAAAAAGAGGAGAGAAUUUGAAGCAAUAGAUCUAACUAAAUUAUCAUCUUGAAAUAAUCCAGCUAGUUUAUCUUCUUUGGGGUUUUUUGUCAGUCUUUCCUUUGGAGAUUUGCAAGACAGUUUUUAGAGCCUAAUUAACUUUUUGCAUGAAGAUGAAGUCCUUUCAUUUUGGAGAAUUAAUCACGCUUAAUCUCUAGACACUAGCCAUUAUAACAAAUCUGUGUCCACUGUAACAGCAGGAUUAUGAAAAAAUAAAUGGAAAGUGACAUUCACAUUAGCCUGACAGUGUUUCUGGCAGUCACCAACUGGCUUUUCUAGUCACUAUGACUUUAACCCAUCAUCACUUUUUCAUUACAAACACCCGAGCAAUGGAGUAGGUUAGGCUGCCAAGCGGCCUUUUCAGGCAUUUAUUAUGUCAGUAAUGUUUAUGUUUGAAAUUAUCAAGCCCCUUCUGAGUGAAUUGGUGCCUUAAACACAGGGUGUCAUGCUGCCAGCUAGAGACCAGCUGUGUGGGGUGGUUUUAGAGUCAAUGUGCUUUGGGCACAGAGGAGUGCAGAGUCGAUUGCAAACAGAGGAAUCACAAGCUCAUUUUGGGCUGAAUAUCCAAAGAACUUUAUUACAGGACUGAAGGUGCUGGGAAAAGUGUUCUCACUAGGGACUUUGCAUUGAAAAAAGUAUGUGUAUCUGUAUGAGAAGGCAACUGAGCAAGAAUACCAAUGCAGUGAAAUAUGUCUAAGAAAGGGGGGGGCAGAGGGUGAAAGGAGGAAGGUGGAGGGGGGAAGAACAAGCUCUCUGUAGAUAAAAGGAUUAGGAACCACAGAAAAUAUUCCCAUAACCAUGCCAAAGAAAAAGAGAUACAUUGUUGGAGUUUGCACUUCAGCCAGAAGUGCAAUCAGUGCUUUGCAGAAUUCAUGCAGAAAUAUGGCUGCCUAGGAGAGUAUGUGUUCUGAGGUGAUUCAUAUCAGCUAAAUAAAGGUAAUUAAAGAUAUAAAGGACUGAAGCAGUAAAAACAGGACUGAGCUAUUUAACCAAGUGUGACAGCUUUGCAUGACUGAUUAUUCAUGAACUACUCCUAGGUAGUUAAGAAACAUAAAAUGUGAUUCAUUAUCUCUAGAAAGAAAACAAGUUAUUAAGAAAUCCAACUUCAUGGUGUUCCUAAAACUAGUAUAAAUAUUUGAAUUUCUGUCUAUAAAGUUUCUGAAAAACAUGAAUCACCCAUUCAUCCACUCACACAAGGCACAUAUGUAGACAUACAUCUAUUUCUUAGAUGGCAGUUAGGAGGUAGGCAUGAAUAUAUGCAAUGCAAAUGCAUUUCCCAAAAGCCUUAUGCAAUUAGUUAUUAUUUCUACCUAGUUCUUACCAUCUAUUUUUAUGGAGAUCAACUCUAUCAACUGAGGAAUGCUAAAUCAGCAGGCCUUUAUAAAAGAGAAAUGAUCCACCAUAAUAUCCUCUGAUCAGGCUGAAAGCUCUACUCUUCCCAGGUUUGUAAUUGUGCAGCACACUAAAUUAUGAUCAUAAAGUGCAUUAAAAACUCUUCAUUAACUCUUCACAUGCAGUAAUUGCAGCUCAUUUACUUCAUUAGUUAGCUGCUAAUACUGAGAGCACUGGAAGCACAUGUAUGUGAGGGGGUUAAUGUGAGAGCCACUACAACACUAUGAAUUACCAGCUCAUUGGACAGCACCUAGAAAAUCCCUAAUUAAAGCUCACAAGCUCAUAAUGAACCAAACAUAUAUAAUUCUAUGGAAUGAUCUGUUAACAAAAAAAAAGCUUACACUGAUUCUUGUUUAUUCUUCUGGGCAUCACAGCAGGAUAAGAGAUAACUGCUCAUUUGCAUGUCAUUUAGGCUUUUUGGGUUUUUUUAAUUUCCUCUGCACUUUCUUCUGUUAAGCAUGACUAUUUCUCUUGAUUUGCUGGGAUUUUUUUUAACUGAUGAGGUACAGUAUAUAAAUAUAUAUUAUAAGGAGUCAUCCAUUUAUAAGCAUGUUUUAUUAUUAAAUUAAACAUAAAGCAAACACUAGGAAAUUGCUAACAAAGGUAUUUGCCAUAAAACAAUGUUGCUUGACUAUUGAGGGCUGUAACUGGAUAUUGCUACAGUUGCCAGUGCAUUUGCAGUGGAACUAUUUGAGUUUUAAAUGGAAGGGAUUUUCCUGCAAUGUCCAGCUGAAUCAAACAGUAAAUUUCACAGGCUAGCUGAAAACAGUUUUUCUUUAAGGGUAAAAUAAUGGCACAGCUUCUCCAUGUCCACUUUUGGAAUUACUGCAUUUUAAUUAGGUUUUCCUUCAUCCUAUGCUACCCGUGUUGAAGAAAAAUAAGAUAUUUUAUACAAGCACCAAAAAAAACACAAAGAAAAGUAUCUUGGUUUGAGACCACUAAGCCACCAAAAAACCCUCCAACCAUACCUCUAAACCCCCAUCACAUUGAUUUUUACAGUAUUUUGUGUCAGUAUUUCAUUAAUAAUUUAUAGCAAUAUUUCUAAUAUUGCUAGGUUUGUUCAUUGUAUUUUGAUUACAAUCACAACCUGGAAACUUACAAGUUUCCAGGAACAAAACAAAGGUUAUAUUAAAAAUAUACUUUAUGGCGUAUGAAUAUGGAAAUUACUUUUAAAAAUGGAGUGGCCCUUUACAAGAUUACUGCUAUAUCUGAUUCCACUGCCCCUUACUCACUUUUCUUUGCCACCAAUUAAUACUUGCAGCUAAAAGAAAGGAACAGAUUUUGCAAGGAACCUCCAGUGUGAUGUUUAGCUUUCUCUCCUUUCACUGGCUAAAGUUUUGUUUCUCUUACUAUAGCAUGAGGACAAAGAGUCAUCAUAACGGCAUAUAUUCUCAUUUUCCUCAUGGAAAUUUUGUGGAAUUUAAUGUCUAACCUUUCUGUAAAAACUUUAAAACCCUUAUGCAGCUCUGCUACAGCAAUAUCCCUCUUUAUGGAUCAUUAGGGUAAAUUAAACAUGCUAUGAAAAAUAAAAUUAUGUAUGACUUGAAAAUAUUUUUACUGGACUUUGCAGAUUUCCUCCCUUCAUCUCUUCAAGAUGACUUAUCCACAGAGAUUAAAUAGAGUUUUGAAUCUAUAUCCUUGAAUGUAGUAACAGCUGUAACACAGUGUAAAUAAAAUAAAGGCAGAUCUACUUCCAGAAAAACACGUGUAGUUAUGCAAAACAUAAAUUAAUGUUAUGCUGAUAGGAUUAGAUGUGGAAGAUACUUGUGGAGGUUGUCUAGGCUGCCUCUCUUUUUGUGAAGGUUUGGAACAUCUAGAGAAAAAUGUAGCCAAUACCAAGGACAGCAGCUGUGGUUUCAUGUGGUGCCUGUCACUGGACAACAGAACAUCCUGUUUUCUGAGCACCUGCUCUGCAUCAUCCUCCAGACCUGCUUUGUUCCAAGAGAUCUUGGCAGUACUGGAACAAUUAGCCUCAGUGUUCUUACACUGCAACAUCGCCAGCCCAGGAGAGGAAGAUACACGAUGCAAAUGAUGACCCGAGGACUCGGGAAUUUAACAUGCAAAAAGACCACAUGCAAACUUCAGUGGGAGAGAUCUCUGUAAUAUGGAUGAGUGCUGGGUUCAGGGCCAGAUGGAGUGAUCUUACUGGAACAAGUCAUUGCAUAAGUGUGGAACAUCCUUCUCUGAACUUCUGGAUUCAGACAGCCUGGCUCUAAACAUGCAACACUGACCCCAAAAUUACUGUGUGGAUAGUCACAAAUACUCUGGAAGAAAGCCAGUGGUUUGACUUUUAGCUGGAGUCAAGGCAUUUAAGCCAUAUGAUAUAAAUGUUUUCAUUGCAUGAUAAAAAUUAUUUGUGGCAUCUAAUAAACUCAUUAUCUAGUUCAUGUA